GACGAACGCUGGCGGCGUGCUUAACACAUGCAAGUCGAACGGUAAGGCCCUUCGGGGUACACGAGUGGCGAACGGGUGAGUAACACGUGGGUGAUCUGCCCUGCACUUCGGGAUAAGCCUGGGAAACUGGGUCUAAUACCGGAUAGGACCACUGCCUGCAUGGGUGGUGGUGGAAAGCUUUUGCGGUGUGGGAUGGGCCCGCGGCCUAUCAGCUUGUUGGUGGGGUGAUGGCCUACCAAGGCGACGACGGGUAGCCGGCCUGAGAGGGUGACCGGCGACAUUGGGACUGCGAUACGGCCCAGACUCCUACGGGGGGCAGCAAUUAGGAAUCUUGCACAAUGGGGGAAACCCUGAUGCAGCGACGCCGCGUGAAUGAUGAAGUCUUUCGGGAUGUAAAGUUCUGUCCUACAGGGAAGAAGAAUGUGACGGUACCUGUAGAGAAAGCCCCGGCUAACUACGUGCCAGCAGCCGCCGUAA
rnacentral:rRNA from 1 species